GAUGAACGCUGGCGGCGUGCUUAACACAUGCAAGUCGAACGAUGAUGCCCACUUGUGGGUGGAUUAGUGGCGGACGGCUGAGUAACACGUGAGUAACCCGCCCUUGACUCUGGGAUAAGCCUGGGAAACUGGGUCUAAUACCGGAUAUGACCUUCCAUCGCAUGGUGGUUGGUGGAAAGCUUUUGUGGUUUUGGAUGGACUCGCGGCCUAUCAGCUUGUUGGUGGGGUAAUGGCCUACCAAGGCGACGACGGGUAGCCGGCCUGAGAGGGUGACCGGCCACACUGGGACUGAGACACGGCCCAGACUCCUACGGGAGGCAGCAGUGGGGAAUAUUGCACAAUGGGCGCAAGCCCGAUGCAGCGACGCCGCGUGAGGGAUGACGGCCUUCGGGUUGUAAACCUCUUUCAGUAGGGAAGAAGCGUAAGUGACGGUACCUGCAGAAGAAGCGCCGGCUAACUACGUGCCAGCAGCCGCGGUAAUACGUAGGGCGCAAGCGUUAUCCGGAAUUAUUGGGCGUAAAGAGCUCGUAGGCGGUUUGUCGCGUCUGCCGUGAAAGUCCGGGGCUCAACUCCGGAUCUGCGGUGGGUACGGGCAGACUAGAGUGAUGUAGGGGAGACUGGAAUUCCUGGUGUAGCGGUGAAAUGCGCAGAUAUCAGGAGGAACACCGAUGGCGAAGGCAGGUCUCUGGGCAUUAACUGACGCUGAGGAGCGAAAGCAUGGGGAGCGAACAGGAUUAGAUACCCUGGUAGUCCAUGCCGUAAACGUUGGGCACUAGGUGUGGGGGACAUUCCACGUUUUCCGCGCCGUAGCUAACGCAUUAAGUUGACCGCCUGGGGAGUACGGCCGCAAGGUUAA
rnacentral:rRNA from 1 species